rnacentral:rRNA from 1 species
CACGCCGUAAACGAUGAAUGCCAGUCGUCGGUGCGCAUGCGUAUCGGUGACACACCUAACGGAUUAAGCAUUCCGCCUGGGGAGUACGGUCGCAAGAUUAAAACUCAAAGGAAUUGACGGGGGCCCGCACAAGCAGCGGAGCAUGUGGUUUAAUUCGAAGCAACGCGAAGAACCUUACCUAGACUUGACAUCUCCUGAAUUACCCGUAAUGGGGGAAGCUCUUCGGAGCAGGAAGACAGGUGG